UACGGAGGGUGCGAGCGUUGUUCGGAAUCACUGGGCGUAAAGCGCGUGUAGGCGGCCUUCUAAGUCUGGUGUGAAAGCCCGGGGCUCAACCCCGGAAGUGCAUUGGAUACUGGAAGGCUGGAGUACCGGAGAGGAGGGUGGAAUUCCUGGUGUAGCGGUGAAAUGCGUAGAUAUCAGGAGGAACACCUGUGGCGAAGGCGGCCCUCUGGACGGAUACUGACGCUGAGACGAGAAAGCGUGGGGAGCAAACAGG
rnacentral:rRNA from 1 species